GCCAGGACGAGGCCACAGCUGAGUUCUCGCAAGGCCAGCACGAGACUAUAGCUAGGUUCUCGCGAGGCUAGCACGAGACCGCAGCUGAGUUCGCACGAGGCCAGCACGAAGCCACAGCUGAGUUCUCGCGAGGUUCUGCAAGCUCCCGUAUAAAAUAUUCCCGGCCAGGAUGAGUCUGGAGUCGCUGUUCCAACACAUCAUCUUCACAGAGCACCAGGCCGAGGAGAGCCACAGGGCGCUGCGGGAAGUAAGGUCAAAAAUCACCAGAUGUCGUGAGAAAAUCAAGAGGGCGACGGAGGAUCUGAACCAAGAGAAAAUCAAGUUGGAAUCCAAGGUUCAGCAGUUUUCUGAAAAAUCAUUCCUUUUAAAGAUUCUGAAAACCCGUGAAAAUGCACUAGAGAGACAGUGUGGUGAAAUUAUGAACCAGAGAGACACACUGUUCCAAUCCUUCGAGGCCACAAAGAAAAAGGUGACAGAGGAAGAAGAAAAAUUUAUCAAGGAAAUUGCAGACUUCAAUGAUGAGUAUGAAAUAACCAAGAAAAGAGACGUUUUGAUGAAAGAAAAUAUCAAGAUGGAAAUAUCUGACUUGGAAAAGCAGGCAGAUGUCUUGAGAGGAGAAAUGAAGUCAAUGGAAUGUAACAGUGGUCACUUGCAGGAACUUCAAAAACAAAAAAGUCAACUGUUACAAGAGUUAUUUACUCUCCAGAAAAAGCUUAAAGUUCUUAAAGAUGAAGAGACUGAAGCCAUUUAUACCACCAGAUAUCUAGAGGCAGAAAAAACAAAAAUCAAGGAAAAGCCUCAACAUGAUGCUGAAUGCUUGAGGUACCUAUGGCAACUGUAGCCUGAAAUUUUUCACAAGUAUCUUUGCAUAGCAAGUAACUUAUAAAGAGUCACCCUUUCCCCACAGACCCAAACCUGGCAUACACGGUUGUUGUAGAAGCAAACAUUCCUAAGUCUCUCAGAGGUUAAGCCUGGAGUCCAUGUGAUACCUGAGCAGCUUGGUUUCAUCAUCUACACAUAAUUUCCAAAUCUUUUCCCCGAAUCUGUCUUUCUUAAUCUUGGAUUCUUCAAAAUGAAAUAGAAACAGAAAUGUAUCUGACAGGAUAUUUCCCUGACUGAACAAGCAGGAUCAACAAUGACAACAAAAAAGCUCUUGUCAGAAGACUUAAGCAGGAAUUAGAUCGUUAUAACGAAGAUGAAAUGGAAAGCACCUGGAAAGUGCUCCAAGCAGAAACAGAAUUUCUGGAGACGACGCUGGCCCAGAAGGGC